GUCAACAGAGGGAAAGAGUUGAAGAGACAGAAUUUCUCUUAUGUUGUCCAAGCUGGUGUUGAACUCAUGGCCUCAAAUGAUCCUCACACCUGCCUCGGCCUCUUGGUGCUGGGAUUACAGAUGUGAGCCACCACACCAGGACUCCAUAAAUAUUUAAUGUGUUGUUUUCAUUCCUCCAAACCUUGCUCAGUAAGUUCUGAAUGAAUGAGUAUUUUGGCUCUUGGCUCCAAAUCAACCUGCCCUACUGGUUUUUGGUUAUCACUCCAUGAUCAGAGAGAAGCUGUCAUCACUGUUACCUUCUCUGGAAUGAAUGCAAAUGGGCCUAUUGAAAUGAUAGAAAUUGAAAAUUAGGAAAAGAAAAGGAAACUCUCAGUGCUGAAGAGGCUGUGGAUGAAAUGCUGGAUGCACCAAUGAAUGGCUCAUGGACAUUGCUACAGCUUCUCUGGGAACAAAGUUGACACCAAAUUUCAAAUUCACAGAACCCACUUCCAGUUAUUUGUUUUUAGGAAAUGAUCAAAGGUGUGCACCUGUGCACUAAGAUUUGACCCCAAAGUAGCUUAUGGCAGAGUUGUUCAUACACCUGUGUUUCAGUUAGUUAGUGCUGUGUAACAAACCGCCCCUAAACUUAGGAGUUUGAAACAACCACAGCUUAUCAUUUCUCAUAAUUUGAGAAUCUGCACUGGGCUCAGCUAGGAUUUUCUGGGGCUGGAAUAUCCACAAGUGGAACAUUCUCCACUCACAUAUCUGGAGCCCCAGUGAGUCAUCUCUCUCUCCACAUGGCUGUUUGGGCUCCCUCAUGGUAUGGUGGUCUUUAUUCCCCAUAUGGCAACUGACUUCAGAGAGAGUUAGCAAAAGCUACUUGUCUUCUUAAAUGCUUGGCUUGGAAGUCACAUGGUAGCUCUUCUGCCACAUUCCAUUGGUCAGAGCAAGUCACAUAGCCCAACCCAAAUUCAAGGGGAAGAGGAGAUGAAAUAGACUCGGCGGAGGAGUGGCAGGGGCAUAACAGGAUGGAAAGUGAUGGCGGCUGUCUCUGGAGAUAGUC
rnacentral:lncRNA from 10 species